rnacentral:rRNA from 1 species
AAAGUGACGGUACUUGCAGAAAAAGCACCGGGCUAACUACGUGCCAGCAGCCGCGGUAAUACGUAGGGUGCAAGCGUUGUCCGGAAUUAUUGGGCGUAAAGAGCUCGUAGGCGGUUUGUCGCGUCUGCUGUGAAAACCCGAGGCUCAACCUCGGGCCUGCAGUGGGUACGGGCAGACUAGAGUGCGGUAGGGGAGAUUGGAAUUCCUGGUGUAGCGGUGGAAUGCGCAGAUAUCAGGAGGAACACCAAUGGCGAAGGCAGAUCUCUGGGCCGUAACUGACGCUGAGGAGCGAAAGCAUGGGGAGCGAACAGGAUUAGAUACCCUGGUAGUCCAUGCCGUAAACGUUGGGAACUAGAUGUGGGGACCAUUCCACGGUCUCCGUGUCGCAGCUAACGCAUUAAGUUCCCCGCCUGGGGAGUACGGCCGCAAGGCUAAAACUCAAAGGAAUUGACGGGGGCCCGCACAAGCGGCGGAGCAUGCGGAUUAAUUCGAUGCAACGCGAAGAACCUUACCAAGGCUUGACAUAUAGAGGAAACGUCUGGAAACAGUCGCCCCGCAAGGUCUCUAUACAGGUGGUGCAUGGUUGUCGUCAGCUCGUGUCGUGAGAUGUUGGGUUAAGUCCCGCAACGAGCGCAACCCUCGUCCUAUGUUGCCAGCACGUAAUGGUGGGAACUCAUGGGAUACUGCCGGGGUCAACUCGGAGGAAGGUGGGGAUGACGUCAAAUCAUCAUGCCCCUUAUGUCUUGGGCUUCACGCAUGCUACAAUGGCCGGUACAAAGGGCUGCAAUACCGCAAGGUGGAGCGAAUCCCAAAAAGCCGGUCUCAGUUCGGAUUGAGGUCUGCAACUCGACCUCAUGAAGUCGGAGUCGCUAGUAAUCGCAGAUCAGCAACGCUGCGGUGAAUACGUUCCCGGGCCUUGUACACACCGCCCGUCAAGUCAUGAAAGUCGGUAACACCCGAAGCCAGUGGCCUAACCCGCAAGGGGAGGAGC